rnacentral:misc_RNA from 1 species
CAUGAACUUCAUUCAUUCACGGUGUUAGUGUAGACAUUCAGAAUGAACUAGGAAAAAGAAAAAGGGAGAGAGAACAAAGAUAUAGAAAUCAAACUGGACACUCAAUACAGCCUAUCACAUACAUAGCUCUAGCAGAUGAUAGGCUUUAAAUCAAAAUUAGCAAAAACGAAAAGUAAUCUCUCUCUAGAAGAACUAUUUGUUUAAAUCACCACAUAUCGUUGCUAAACUGAGGUUGAAUCAGUGCCUG